ACCCACCUUAUUUAGGCACAGUGAGAGGUAGUUAGGCCUCCUCUCUUCACACACAACGAACAAAACAAAUCACUAUUUAGAUAGUCCUCCAUCUUCGUCUCCAUCAAUUAUUUAGACAGUGCUCCAUCUCCGUUUCCGUCUCCUUCUCUGUCUCUAUCUCCGUCGCCGAUUGGGUCUCUCUCGCUCUAGAUUCAGGUAGGCAGUCAGGGAGGUAACAGGUUACAGGUGUCCACGGACUAUGAUUGCCAUUCUCAGGUUUCCAUUUCUCUUCUACCCCAUAUGCUUUUCUGGUUUUUAUGCAGAUCUCGGGUAGGAUUUCUUUCAGAACAGAUGUAGCUUUUGUAUUUGGAACUGGCUUAAAAGAUUCAAGACUUAAAGAACGUCUCAACAGCCUUACAGGUGCAAGCUUGGAUUUGAGGAACAUAUAUCUCCAUGGUAACAAAUCAAUAGAAAAAAUUUGAGAUUAAUUAGAAUACUUGUUUGUAAGAUAAGAUUUAUUGGUAAAUAUCCCAAAAAGAAUUGCAUUAGAUUUUUAAAGUGCAACCAAUAUUACAAUAUAUCAUUUUUACUUUGCUAGCAGGUUGAGUUCAUUUAUUUCACUCCCUGUACUAUUGUCGGUCCCAUAUUCUUCUAAUCUUUGUUUUUAGUCACACGGGUAAUAUUUGAUAGAGAUGAGACAGAAAGUGAAACAGAUGAUCGAUGGUCGUUUCUCGCUUACUCGUAAAGUGUAUGAUUGGAUAGUCUUGGUGUUGGGAUUGCCAUGAGAGGCACUCUUUUCUUCAACACAAUCCCAAACUUCUCUGAAAGGUCUAAUUUCUCUCCCUCGGGCAAUUUCCAAUCAAAUGAGUGCAAAAUUGAAGCCAAUGAGAACAAGAACAUCCUCUCAGCCAUGGCUAUGCCUGCACACAUUCUUCUCCCAGACCCAAAUGGGAAAUAAUUAAAAUCAACUCCUCUGGGAGAAGACUGUGUGCAAGGAUGUUCUUGUUCUCAUUGGCUUCAAUUUUGCACUCAUUUGAUUGGAAAUUGCCCGAGGGAGAGAAAUUAGACCUUUCAGAGAAGUUUGGGAUUGUGUUGAAGAAAAGAGUGCCUCUCAUGGCAAU